CUCUAACUUUCACUCUCUUUAGUUACUCUCACUGUCUCUAUAUAGUAACUAACCUCUCUCUCUUUAGUAACUCACUUUCUCUCUCUUUAGUAACUCUCACUGUCUCUCUCUCUUUAGUAACGCUCAUUGUAUCUCUCUAGUAACUCACUUUCUCUGUAGUAACUCACUUUCUUUCUUUCUUUAGUAACUCUCACUAUCUCUCUCUUUAGUAACUCUCACUUUCUCUCUCUUUAGUAACUCUUACUUUCUCUCUUUAGUA